AUUGAACGCUGGCGGCAUGCCUUACACAUGCAAGUCGAACGGCAGCGGGGGAGAAGCUUGCUUUUCCUGCCGGCGAGUGGCGAACGGGUGAGUAAUACAUCGGAACGUGCCCUGUAGUGGGGGAUAACUAGUCGAAAGAUUAGCUAAUACCGCAUACGACCUGAGGGUGAAAGUGGGGGACCGCAAGGCCUCAUGCUAUAGGAGCGGCCGAUGUCUGAUUAGCUAGUUGGUGGGGUAAAGGCCUACCAAGGCGACGAUCAGUAGCUGGUCUGAGAGGACGAUCAGCCACACUGGGACUGAGACACGGCCCAGACUCCUACGGGAGGCAGCAGUGGGGAACUUUGGACAAUGGGCGAAAGCCUGAUCCAGCAAUGCCGCGUGUGUGAAGAAGGCCUCCGGGUUGUAAAGCACUUUUGUCCGGAAAGAAAUGGCUCUGGUUAAUACCUGGGGUCGAUGACGGUACCGGAAGAAUAAGGACCGGCUAACUACGUGCCAGCAGCCGCAGUAA
rnacentral:rRNA from 1 species